AGUGAACCCUAAUGUCAACUGUGGACUUUGGGUGAUAAUGAUCUGCCAAUGUAUGUUCGUGAAUUGCAACAUCCCCCACUCUGGUGGGGGAUGUUGAUAAUGGGGGAGGCUAUUCCUGUGUGGGGCAGAGGAUGUAUGGGAAAUCUCUGUACCUUCCACUCAGUUUUGCUGUGAACCUAAAACUAUUUUAAAAACUAAAAACUAUUACAAAUAAAUAGAAAUAUGCUGCUCCAGGCCCUCAACAGGCCUUUUCAGCCUGGGAACUCACGAGCUCCUAUUCUUCUAUUCUGGAAAUGUUCUUUCCUCAUGCAUGUACUUCAUUAGACCAUAAUACGCUUUGUCAAGGCAGGAACCAUGUGAUUCUUGCUCAUGAUUCUUUUAUGGUGCCUAGUGAAGUACCUGGAGCCCAAUAGCUAUUUAAUGAGUGAACUAAUGAAUGAAUGAAUGCAGGAAAGAACAUGAGUGCUUUGGGAAGAAGAUAUUCCGCUGAGCUUCGGGGAUGCCAAGCUUAAGGUGUACAUUGUAUGUAAGAGCCUAGACCCACGAAAUAUAUCAAGGCUGCAAAUGUAGGCUAGGGAGGUAACUGCAUAUAUUUGGUACUUGAAGCCCUGGUGGUGAUAUGGUCUCCCUGGAAAGGUAUAUGGAGUGAAAAGAAAAGAAAGUGGCUAGUAAAGGGCAGUAAAGUCCAUGGUUUCUCUGAAUGAAGAAAAAAUGUUGUUUUCCAAAAUUUCCAAACAAAAGCGAAACUCAUGGAGAAUUUUCCAUUAUCCUAUGGCUUUCUCUAUGUCUCAGCAGAACUUUUCAUAUACUGUAAGAAGCAUGAUACUAGAGUACACUAAUUAUUAAGGUUCAUCACCAAAACUCACCCCUUCUAUAUCCACAGAGAAAGAGGCAUAUGCGGGUAGGUAACAGAAAUGACAGGAAAAGCUAUUGACAGAUGAGAAUAGUGGCCAGAAGAGAAAUAUAGGUGAAGUGUUCUGGCCUACCCAAACCCUCAGUCUCCAGCCCAGAUCCUCGGCUCCUGAAAACACUACAAAAUACUCCCCCAGUACUCCACCCCUGCCACUAGCAAGUAUCACUUGCAGGCCCAUCCUUUGCUCUCUUAACCAUGCCCACAUGCUCUUUCCCACCGCGUCUUAUUCCUCCUCUCUAAGAAGUCUUAUUCUCUGUGUAAGAAAGCUUAAGUCCUCUGCUUGUUCAGCCUAGCUUGAACUGAAACCAAUAUCCCCAAUACCAGCUAAAGUUAGCUAACGUGAUCUAAUUCCUGGAUAUUUAGGGCCCCCUCUAACUGCCUCUAUCACCAGCAAAAUCACCUGCUGGGAACUGACUCUCAGCCCAGGUUCUAUUUCUGUCCCCCACCCGCUUCAUCUACCUCUGUAAGUUCUGAACCAUCUCAGAAUGAAGCUCCCAGAGAAACCCUGCCCUGCAUGGUAUAUUCCUGCCACUGCAUGCUUGCAGAUGCGCUCAUAAUUGAAUUUGUUCAUUUUAAUGGUGGAAGUUUGGGCACCUGGGAGCCAAUUUUAGAAAAUGCAUUGGCUAUUGGACAAAAUGAUGAAGUCCAGAUCUAGCAUGUGGGUCUGAGAUUCUCCACUACUGGGCUAGCUAACCAGAUUGCUAAAAGGAAGUAGAAAGAGAGUUUAUGUGUUGUGACAUUCUAUACAAACAAGAAUUCAGUUCACAUUAGUGGAAAGUAUUAAGAAUCAAUCUUUCUCCACAAUGAAAAACACUGAAUAAAAUAUAUUUAAAACACUGAAUAAAAUAUAUUUAAAGUCACGUUAAAAGCAAGGAAGGUCUGGGCAUGGUGGCUUAUGCCUGUAAUCCCAGCACUUUGGGAGGCCAAGGCAGGAGGAUCACUUGAGCCCAGGAGUCGAGCCUGGGAAACAUAGUGAGAUUCUUGCCUCCACAAAACAUCCAAAAAUUAGCUGACCAUGGUGGUGGGCACCUAGAGUCUCAGGUACUUGGGAGACUGAGGUGGGAGGAUCACUUGAGCCUUGGAGGUCGAGGCUACAGUGAGCUGUGAUUGUGCCACUGCACUCCAGCCUGGGCAACAGAGCGAGACCCUGUCAAAAAAAAAAAAAAAAGAAAAAAAGAAAAAAGAAAAAGAAAAGACAAGGAAGGAUUACCACAUGUCAUGCCACAUUUUGGUGGGAAAAGCCUGAACCUGGAAGCCAAAGAAAAAAAGUAUCUGAGCAACAAAACCCUUCUAAGGGGGCUUACUGACACUGAUCACUUAGUCUUGAGUUCCCCAGCCUCAUGUGGCCAAAAGGACAGAGUCAAGGCCCAGGGCCACUCAAGAAGAGGAAACUUGGGGAUAACAUUUUCUAUGUCAAAUGAACCCCAAAACACUACAUAAUAAAAUAAAUUAUAAACAGAACUAAACUCCUCCUACUUCCCAGUAGUAAUGGAA
rnacentral:lncRNA from 1 species